AUCGAGGCGACGCGGGGCGAUCCGCCGCCCACGAACUCGUGAGAAAUCAACUGAACCUUAUCAUUUAGAGGAAGGAGAAGAAGUGACAAGGUUUCUGUANGUGAACCUACUGAAGGAUCAUUG
rnacentral:rRNA from 1 species